rnacentral:rRNA from 1 species
AAAUUGAAGAGUUUGAUCAUGGCUCAGAUUGAACGCUGGCGGCAGGCCUAACACAUGCAAGUCGAACGGUAACAGGAAGCAGCUUGCUGCUUCGCUGACGAGUGGCGGACGGGUGAGUAAUGUCUGGGAAACUGCCUGAUGGAGGGGGAUAACUACUGGAAACGGUAGCUAAUACCGCAUAACGUCGCAAGACCAAAGAGGGGGACCUUCGGGCCUCUUGCCAUCGGAUGUGCCCAGAUGGGAUUAGCUAGUAGGUGGGGUAACGGCUCACCUAGGCGACGAUCCCUAGCUGGUCUGAGAGGAUGACCAGCCACACUGGAACUGAGACACGGUCCAGACUCCUACGGGAGGCAGCAGUGGGGAAUAUUGCACAAUGGGCGC